GGCAUGCAUAUUUGUGGUAUGACAAGGUGAAAGCUCACAAAAUAUUUAAAAACCAUAUUGUCAGGAAAGCAUUGUUUAAUGUCUGGAUAAGAUACAAAGACUUAUUGGAGAACAAAACCCCAAGGUGGCUAUCACCAAUGGAGGCAAAGGCCCUAAAAAAGUCCAAUAUGGAGGCCAAGUGGCCAAAAUAUUGGGAGAUCUUGGAACAAGAAGGAGAUAAAUUCAAAUUGCAGAGUUUUGAAAAAUUAAAAGACAGAGUGCGAGACUGGUUGCAUUACUACCAAAUAAGAGAGGUUUAUAAUUUGGAUAGAAAAAUUGGCUUCCAGGUGGAAAAAUCAAAGUUGGAAACAGAACUGCUAGAUUCCAAAACUAAAACACUUUCAAGAAUGUAUAACUUGCUGCUAAAAUGGAAUACUCAGGAUGAAACGGUAAAAUCUGCUAUGAUUAAAUGGGCACAGGAUAUUGGACAUAACAUUAUGUUUGCUGACUGGGAAUGGUUAUGGACCACAGGUACGAAGUUCACAGCAUGUAAUGCUUUAAAAGAGAAUAUUAUGAAAAUGGUGUACAGGUGGUACAUGACCCCAGUUAAGCUUGCAAAAAUCUACCAUUUGCCCGAUAAUAAAUGUUGGAAAUGUAAGGAAACUGAAGGUACAUUCUUUCACCUUUGGUGGACGUGCCCAAAGAUUAAGGCCUUCUGGGAAAUGAUAUAUAAUGAGUUGAAAAAGGUAUUUAAGUAUACCUUCUUAAAGAAACCAGAGGCCUUCCUCUUGGGCAUUGUUGGCCAAUUGGUGCCAAAGAAAGAUAGAACUUUCUUUAUGUAUGCAACAGCAGCAGCAAGAAUACUCAUCGCAAAGUAUUGGAAGACACAAGACUUACCCACUCUGGAAGAAUGGCAGAUGAAGGUAAUCGAAUAUAUGGAACUGGCGGAGAUGACUGGCAGAAUCCGUGACCAGGGAGAAGAGUCGGUGGAAGAAGAUUGGAAGAAAUUUAAAGUCUAUCUACAGAAAUACUAUAAAAUCAAUGAAUGUUAAAUUGAAGUCUGAUUGAAAAUAACUGGUAUUGGCAAAAGCCUUGGGAUUAAGAGUAUGGAAUAUUUGACUGAUAAGGUUGUAAAAAUAUUUAUAUAUAAAUAGAUUAAGUUUUCUGAGUUAAGAUAAUGAAAGGAGGGUAAGGAUUUGCUGAAAGGAGUUCUUAAAUGGAAAUACAAGCGGGGAGGUGCGGGGAAGUCAAAGAACCAGGUAAAGAUAAGAAGGAUAUAUGAAAGUAUAAUAUUCUUUGAAUUUCUUUGUCUCUUUUUCCUUUUCUCCUUUUUCUCUUUUUGUUAUGGAUACUGUUAUUUCUGUUUGUUUUUUGUCAUGGUUAUUGUUGUUUUUUGUUUGUUGAACUUUUGUAAUUUUGUAUUUUUUUGGAAAUUUUUUUUGUAAAACCAAUAAAUAUU